CAGGAGGUAGUUUAAUUAAAAUAUUAAUUUUGGGGAUUAAUGAUAAAGUGGGGUACUUUCUCUUGA
rnacentral:tRNA from 1 species